rnacentral:rRNA from 1 species
UACGUAGGGUGCAAGCGUUGUCCGGAAUUAUUGGGCGUAAAGAGCUCGUAGGCGGUCUGUCGCGUCGGCUGUGAAAUCCCCGGAGGCUCAACUUCGGGCUUGCAGUCGAUACGGGCAGGCUAGAGUUCGGGUAGGGGGAGACUGGAAUUCCUGGUGUAGCCGGUGAAAUGCGCAGAUAUCAGGAGGAACACCGAUGGCGAGGCAGGUCUCUGGGCCGAUACUGA